AUCUGCCCGGCUCCCGGCCUCGCCUCCAGCCCCGCGGCUCUGCCCCACCACGUGCUGAGCCAACCCCAGGGGCCGCAGCCGUCCCCGGGGACCGCCGCCGCCCCGGCCGUCGCCGCCCCCAGCAUGAAGGAGGUGGAGCAGGCCGUGCAGGAGGCCUCGGAGCAGGUGGAGGGCGGGGGAGCGGAGGUGGUGCUGAAGGGGCUGCUGGAGAGGGUGGUGGAGGCCGCUCUGGGAGAGGCAGGGGGGGCGGAGGGGGGAGGAGCCGGGGAGGGCGAGGCGGAGGCGGCGGCGGACGGAGGAGUUGGGGGAACGGUGGAGCAGGCGUCUGAGGGGGAGGGGGCGGGGCUGGAUGGAGGCCUGGGGGCCGCGGCGGGAGGUCUGGAUGGAGAGGAGCAGCAGGAGGCAGAGACCGGGGGAUCGGACGCUGAGACCGCCGGGGCGGAGACGGACGCGGUGGGGGCUGACGGAGCAACCGGCUCCGAGUCGGAAGAGGCCACCGAAGCGGGGGUUGAGGAGCUGGACGAGACGGCGGUGGCUACACCCCCCGCGGCGUCUGAGGACACCCCCCCCGUGGUGCUGGUGGUGGAGCCCACAGACAUCCUGGAGAAGAUGGAGAAACAGGUGGAGGAGAUGAUCAUUAAAGCAGGGGGCGAAGAGGUGUUGAAGCCGAGCAUAGAAGGAGCCGGCGGAGAUAGCACCAAAGAAGGAACGGAGAGAGGGGGGGCGAGCGAGGAGCAGCUUGGCGCUACGGAGGAGCCGACCGGGGGAGAGACAGAAGGGGGCGCGGGGGAGCUGGGGGGAGGGGAAGCCGCUCAGCAGCCUGGAGGAGAUGUUGAAGCGAAGGAAGAGAGUAGUCACGUGCACGGAGCAGUCGGGGUCCAACUGCCCCCUGGUGGCGACGGGGGGGAGGACAGCGAGAGGGUUGGAGAGCAGGAACAGGAGGGGGCGACUGAGAAUGAGGCAGACGAGCAAGAAGUAGAGGCAGGAGGUUUAGAGGUGAACGGAGGCUUGGCCGGUGUGGUGGGGGGAGAAGAAAACGGAGAAGGAGGGGCCGGGGCCUGGGGAGACGGGCCCGGUUGGACCAGGGGAAGACGAGGGCGUGGCACUGAACGGGGAAGAGGUGGUGACACUGGACGGCGAUGCAGCCACAGAGGCCACCACAGAGUCCUCCCAGACCGGUCAGACGAAGGAACAAGAUGUGCUGGCCCUCUCCCCCGGGGCCUCUGAACACGGGGCUGGGGACCAGGCCCCCCCGGUCCAGGAGCAGGACUCCCUGCCUCGUCCCACCCUGGUCUGGGGAGAAACAGGAAGUGAGCAUGUGGACAGAGAGGACCCUUUACUGCAAGGGACCAACCACACCAACGAGAUCCCCACCACGGACCACCUCUUCACCCAUGGCCCGGCAGUCGCCACGGAAGCUUACCAGGAUUUGAUGGAACAGGCCCUGGCCACGCCCCCUGAGACAGAAGAGGCGGAGCCAGGUGAAGCCAAUGAGUUGGUGACGGAUGCUGCUGGUCCCUCAGUCUGUUCUGCAUUUCAUCCAUUCAUCCAUCGAUACCUCAGUAUAUCCAGCCAUCCAUCCAAUCCUCAUUUUCUCCCUCUGCCCAUCAAUCAUUAGAUCACCCCUACUUUCAUGUAUCCAUCCAUCCAUCAUGUUAUCAUUCCUCCCUUCAUGUAUCCAUCCAUCCAUCAUGUUAUCAUUCCUCCCUUCAUGUAUCCAUCCAUCCAUC
ensembl:lncRNA